AUAAUAAGAGAUGAUGAGGGUGUUUAGUUUGGGUUUGCGCUUGUUCUGCAAUAUUAUUGUUCUACUCAUCGUCUUCCACCAUCCCUCGUUUGGAGCUGCUCGUCAAUACCAUUCAUUCCAAAGGGAUGACUUGGGUACUUGUCUCCAGGCCAGCAGUGGCCGUAAAGACUGUACGCCACCACCGUCCACUGCUACACCCAUUCCCCCUAAAGGUCCAAAUCCAUAAAAUCAUGUAUGUGUGUAAAAUUUGAAUUAAGACUAGUAUAGUCAUUAUAUUCAACCAUGAUAAAAUAAUUAUAUUGCUUCUUAAUUUUGAUCAAGGACAAAGGUACGUGUUGAGUACUACUGUUUGAUUACUUA